AUUGAACGCUGGCGGCAGGCCUAACACAUGCAAGUCGAGCGGAUGAAGGGAGCUUGCUCCUGGAUUCAGCGGCGGACGGGUGAGUAAUGCCUAGGAAUCUGCCUGGUAGUGGGGGAUAACGUCCGGAAACGGGCGCUAAUACCGCAUACGUCCUGAGGGAGAAAGUGGGGGAUCUUCGGACCUCACGCUAUCAGAUGAGCCUAGGUCGGAUUAGCUAGUUGGUGGGGUAAAGGCCUACCAAGGCGACGAUCCGUAACUGGUCUGAGAGGAUGAUCAGUCACACUGGAACUGAGACACGGUCCAGACUCCUACGGGAGGCAGCAGUGGGGAAUAUUGGACAAUGGGCGAAAGCCUGAUCCAGCCAUGCCGCGUGUGUGAAGAAGGUCUUCGGAUUGUAAAGCACUUUAAGUUGGGAGGAAGGGCAGUAAGUUAAUGCCUUGCUGUUUUGACGUUACCAACAGAAUAAGCACCGGCUAACUUCGU
rnacentral:rRNA from 1 species